rnacentral:misc_RNA from 1 species
GAUGAAGAACGUAGCGAAAUGCGAUACGUAAUGUGAAUUGCAGAAUUCAGUGAAUCAUCGAGUCUUUGAACGCACAUUGCGCCCCCUGGUAUUCCGGGGGGCAUGCCUGUCCGAGCGUCAUUGCUGCCCUUCAAGCCCGGCUUGUGUGUUGGGUCGUCGUCCCCCCCGGGGGACGGGCCCGAAAGGCAGCGGCGGCACCGCGUCCGGUCCUCGAGCGUAUGGGGCUUUGUCACCCGCUCGAUUAGGGCCGGCCGGGCGCAAGCCGGCGUCUCCAACCUUCUAUUUUACCAGGUUGACCUCGGAUCAGGUAGGGAUACCCGCUGAACUUAAGCAUAUCAAUAAGCGGAGGA